rnacentral:tmRNA from 1 species
GGGGGUGUUUUGGUUUCGACAGGAUUGUCUUAGGUAUAAAGCGCGAGCCGAGGAGCUGCCUGGCCUCGUAAAAAGGCGGAAAAAAAUAAAUGACAAAACAGAAGUCAUUACAGCUGACAUUCCAAAUUGGAAUACAGCUCCAGCUUUAGCUGUAGCUUAAUUUAUUAAUUAGCUACCCGUUAUUCGGAUAAUGUUGAAUACUCCGGAAACGAUAAAACUCAACUAGUUUUAUGUAGUGAUUGACUAUAUGAAAUGAAACUUUUUUCAAUCUCGUUUAACUACAGUCUGUUUUUGGACGUUAGUUAGGUUAAAUUAAAACAAAAACUACGCUCGUAGUGGUUUAUAUUGUAGCAAUUUUGGACAGCGGUUCAAUUCCGCUCACCUCCACCA